rnacentral:rRNA from 1 species
ACGGAGCAGGCAAGCGUUGUUCGGAAUCACUGGGCUUAAAGCGCGUGUAGGCGGCUCGGCAAGUACCUUGUGAAAGCCCCCGGCUCAACCGGGGAACUGCUGGGUAUACUGCCGAGCUUGAGGCAGGUAGGGGUGCUUGGAACUCUAGGUGGAGCGGUGAAAUGCGUAGAGAUCUAGGGGAACGCCGGUGGCGAAAGCGGAGCACUGGGCCUGUCCUGACGCUGAGACGCGAAAGCGUGGGUAGCAAACGG